AUUGAACGCUGGCGGCAUGCUUUACACAUGCAAGUCGAACGGUAACAGGCCGCAAGGUGCUGACGAGUGGCGAACGGGUGAGCAAUGCAUCGGACCGUGCCCAGUCGCGGGGGAUAACGCAGCGAAAGCUGUGCUAAUACCGCAUACGACCUAUGGAUGAAAGCGGGGGACCGUAAGGCCUCGCGCGAUUGGAGCGGCAGAUGUCCGAUUAGGUAGUUGGUGGGGUAACGGCUCACCAAGCCAACGAUCUGUAGCUGGUCUGAGAGGACGACCAGCCACACUGGGACUGAGACACGGCCCAGACUCCUACGGGAGGCAGCAGUGGGGAAUUUUGGACAAUGGGCGCAAGCCUGAUCCAGCAAUGCCGCGUGCAGGAAGAAGGCCUUCGGGUUGUAAACUGCUUUUGUACGGAACGAAACGGCGAGCUCUAAUACAGUUUGCUAAUGACGGUACCGUAAGAAUAAGCACCGGCUAACUACGUGCCAGCCGCCGCAGUAA
rnacentral:rRNA from 1 species